UACGUAGGGUGCGAGCGUUGUCCGGAUUUAUUGGGCGUAAAGAGCUCGUAGGCGGUUCGUCGCGUCGGCUGUGAAAACCCGGAGCUCAACUCCGGGCCUGCAGUCGAUACGGGCGGACUGGAGUGUUGCAGGGGAGACUGGAAUUCCUGGUGUAGCGGUGAAAUGCGCAGAUAUCAGGAGGAACACCGGUGGCGAAGGCGGCAUCCUGGACCGGCAUUGACGCUGAGGCGCGAAAGCCAGGGGAGCAAACGGG
rnacentral:rRNA from 1 species